rnacentral:rRNA from 1 species
GACGAACGCUGGCGGCGUGCUUAACACAUGCAAGUCGAUCGGAAAGGCCCUGCUUUUGUGGGGUGCUCGAGUGGCGAACGGGUGAGUAACACGUGAGUAACCUGCCCUUUACUUUGGGAUAACUUCAGGAAACUGGGGCUAAUACCGGAUAGGAGCUCCUGCUGCAUGGUGGGGGUUGGAAAGUUUCGGCGGUUGGGGAUGGACUCGCGGCUUAUCAGCUUGUUGGUGGGGUAGUGGCUUACCAAGGCUUUGACGGGUAGCCGGCCUGAGAGGGUGACCGGCCACAUUGGGACUGAGAUACGGCCCAGACUCCUACGGGAGGCAGCAGUGGGGAAUAUUGCACAAUGGGCGGAAGCCUGAUGCAGCAACGCCGCGUGCGGGAUGACGGCCUUCGGGUUGUAAACCGCUUUCGCCUGUGACGAAGCGUGAGUGACGGUAAUGGGUAAAGAAGCACCGGCUAACUACGUG